AGAUUGAACGCUGGCGGCAGGCCUAACACAUGCAAGUCGAGCGGCAGCACGGGUACUUGUACCUGGUGGCGAGCGGCGGACGGGUGAGUAAUGCCUAGGAAUCUGCCUAGUGGUGGGGGAUAACGUUCGGAAACGGACGCUAAUACCGCAUACGUCCUACGGGAGAAAGCGGGGGACCUUCGGGCCUCGCGCCAUUAGAUGAGCCUAGGUCGGAUUAGCUAGUUGGUGAGGUAAUGGCUCACCAAGGCGACGAUCCGUAACUGGUCUGAGAGGAUGAUCAGUCACACUGGAACUGAGACACGGUCCAGACUCCUACGGGAGGCAGCAGUGGGGAAUAUUGGACAAUGGGCGAAAGCCUGAUCCAGCCAUGCCGCGUGUGUAGAAGAAGGUCUUCGGAUUUGGUAAAAGCUAACGUUUAAGGUUGGGAAGGUAAAGGGUUUGUUAAACCGUAAGUACGUUUGACUAAACUUUGACGUUAACGACUAGAAUAAGCAACCGGCUAACUUCGUAGCCAGCAGCCGA
rnacentral:rRNA from 1 species